AGAGUUUGAUCCUGGCUCAGAUUGAACGCUAGCGGAAUGCUUUACACAUGCAAGUCGAACGGCAGCACGGGCUUCGGCCUGGUGGCGAGUGGCGAACGGGUGAGUAAUGCAUCGGAAUGUACCCAGUAGCGGGGGAUAACUACGCGAAAGCGUGGCUAAUACCGCAUACGCCCUGCGGGGGAAAGGGGGGGAUCUUCGGACCUCUCACUAUUGGAGCAGCCGAUGUCGGAUUAGCUAGUUGGUGGGGUAAAGGCCUACCAAGGCGACGAUCCGUAGCUGGUUUGAGAGGACGACCAGCCACACUGGGACUGAGACACGGCCCAGACUCCUACGGGAGGCAGCAGUGGGGAAUUUUGGACAAUGGGGGCAACCCUGAUCCAGCCAUUCCGCGUGUGUGAUGAAGGCCUUCGGGUUGUAAAGCACUUUUGGCAGGAAAGAAAUCGCUCGGGCUAAUACCCUGAGCGGAUGACGGUACCUGCAGAAUAAGCACCGGCUAACUACGUGCCAGCAGCCGCGGUAAUACGUAGGGUGCAAGCGUUAAUCGGAAUUACUGGGCGUAAAGCGUGCGCAGGCGGUUUCGUAAGACAGAGGUGAAAUCCCCGGGCUCAACCUGGGAACUGCCUUUGUGACUGCGAGGCUAGAGUAUGGCAGAGGGGGGUGGAAUUCCACGUGUAGCAGUGAAAUGCGUAGAGAUGUGGAGGAACACCGAUGGCGAAGGCAGCCCCCUGGGCCAAUACUGACGCUCAUGCACGAAAGCGUGGGGAGCAAACAGGAUUAGAUACCCUGGUAGUCCACGCCCUAAACGAUGUCGACUAGUUGUUGGUGGGGUUAAACCCAUUAGUAACGUAGCUAACGCGUGAAGUCGACCGCCUGGGGAGUACGGCCGCAAGGUUAAAACUCAAAGGAAUUGACGGGGACCCGCACGAGCGGUGGAUGAUGUGGAUUAAUUCGAUGCAACGCGAAAAACCUUACCUACCCUUGACAUGCCAGGAACUUGCCAGAGAUGGCUUGGUGCCCGAAAGGGAGCCUGGACACAGGUGCUGCAUGGCUGUCGUCAGCUCGUGUCGUGAGAUGUUGGGUUAAGUCCCGCAACGAGCGCAACCCUUAUGAACAGUUGCCAAUAUUAAGUUAGGAACUCUGUUCAGACUGCCGUGGAUAACACGGAGGAAGGUGAGGAUGACGUCAAAUCAUCACGCCCCUUAUGUCUUGGGCUACACACGUGCUACAAUGGCUGAUACAAAGAGCAGCAAGAUAGCAAUAUUAAGCAAAUCUCAUAAAAUCAGUCUCAGUUCAGAUUGUGGGCUGCAACCCGCCCACAUGAAGUAGGAGUUGCUAGUAAUCGCAAAUCAGAAUGUUGCGGUGAAUGCGUUCCCGGGUCUUGUACACACCGCCCGUCACGCCAUGGGAGUCGGGAGUACCCGAAGUCAGUGACCUAACCUGCAAAGGAAGGAGCUGCCGAAGGUAAGACCGGUAACUGGGGUGAAGUCGUAACAAGGUAUCC
rnacentral:rRNA from 1 species